rnacentral:tRNA from 1 species
GGCCAAAUGGUUACGCUGUCCGCUUUGUAAGCGGAAAUUCAUGGGUUCGAUUCCCAU